UACGUAGGGUGCGAGCGUUGUCCGGAAUUACUGGGCGUAAAGAGCUCGUAGGUGGUUUGUCGCGUUGUCCGUGAAAACUCAACAACUCAAUUGUGGGCGUGCGGGCGAUACGGGCAGACUGGAGUACUGCAGGGGAGACUGGAAUUCCUGGUGUAGCGGUGGAAUGCGCAGAUAUCGAGGAGGAACACCGGUGGCGAAGGCGGGUCUCUGGGCAGUAACUGACGCUGAGGAGCGAAAGCGUGGGGAGCGAACAGG
rnacentral:rRNA from 1 species